UACGUAGGGGGCAAGCGUUGUCCGGAAUCAUUGGGCGUAAAGCGCGUGUAGGCGGUUCGAUAAGUCUGCUGUGAAAGUCCAGGGCUCAACCCUGGAAAGCCGGUGGAUACUGUCGAACUAGAGUGCGGAAGAGGCGAGUGGAAUUCCCGGUGUAGCGGUGAAAUGCGCAGAUAUCGGGAGGAACACCAAUUGCGAAGGCAGCUCGCUGGGACGUUACUGACGCUGAGACGCGAAAGCGUGGGGAGCAAACAGG
rnacentral:rRNA from 1 species